rnacentral:rRNA from 1 species
UACAGAGGGGGCAAGCGUUGUUCGGAAUUACUGGGCGUAAAGGGCGCGUAGGCGGCCUGCUAAGUCGAACGUGAAAUCCCUGGGCUCAACCCAGGAACUGCGUCCGAUACUGGUUGGCUUGAGUUUGGGAGAGGGAUGCGGAAUUCCAGGUGUAGCGGUGAAAUGGGUUGAUAUCAGGAGGAACACCGAUGGCGAAGGCAGCUCACUGGCCGUUAUCUGACGCUGAGGCGCGAAAGCGUGGGUAGCAAACAGG